rnacentral:tRNA from 1 species
GAAGGUAUAACUCAGUGGCAGAGUGCCUGCUUAGCAUGCAUAAAUCCUGGGUUCAAUCCCCAGUACCUCCA